rnacentral:rRNA from 1 species
CUACGGGUGGCACCAGUGAGGAAUAUUGCUCAAUGGGGGGAACCCUGAUGCAGCAACGCCGCGUGGAGGAUGACGCAUUUCGGUGUGUAAACUCCUUUUAUAUGUCAAGAAAAUGACGGUAGCAUAUGAAUAAGCACCGGCUAACUCCGUGCCAGCAGCCGCGGUAAUAUGGAGGGUGCAGGCGUUACUCGGAAUCACUGGGCGUAAAGGACGCGUAGGCGGGUUGGAAAGUCAGGUGUGAAAUCCUACAGCUUAACUGUAGAACUGCACUUGAAACUUCUAAUCUAGAGUAUGGGAGGGGGAGAUGGAAUUAGUGGUGUAGGGGUAAAAUCCGUAGAUAUCACUAGGAAUACCUAAAGCGAAGGCGAUCUCCUGGAACAUUACUGACGCUAAGGCGUGAAAGCGUGGGGAGCAAACAGGAUUAGAUACCCCGGUAGUC